GGUUAAGCGACUAAGCGUACACGGUGGAUGCCCUGGCAGUCAGAGGCGAUGAAGGGCGUGCUAAUCUGCGAUAAGCGCCGGUAAGGUGAUAUGAACCGUUAUAACCGGCGAUACCCGAAUGGGGAAACCCAGUGUGACUCGUCACACUAUCAUUAACUGAAUCCAUAGGUUAAUGAGGCGAACCGGGGGAACUGAAACAUCUAAGUACCCCGAGGAAAAGAAAUCAACCGAGAUUCCCCCAGUAGCGGCGAGCGAACGGGGAGGAGCCCAGAGCCUGAAUCAGCAUGUGUGUUAGUGGAAGCGUCUGGAAAGGCGCGCGAUACAGGGUGACAGCCCCGUACACAAAAGCGCAUGUGCUGUGAGCUCGAUGAGUAGGGCGGGACACGUGGUAUCCUGUCUGAAUAUGGGGGGACCAUCCUCCAAGGCUAAAUACUCCUGACUGACCGAUAGUGAACCAGUACCGUGAGGGAAAGGCGAAAAGAACCCCGGCGAGGGGAGUGAAAAAGAACCUGAAACCGUGUACGUACAAGCAGUGGGAGCACCCUUCGGGGUGUGACUGCGUACCUUUUGUAUAAUGGGUCAGCGACUUAUAUUCUGUAGCAAGGUUAACCGUAUAGGGGAGCCGGAGGGAAACCGAGUCUUAAUUGGGCGUUAAGUUGCAGGGUAUAGACCCGAAACCCGGUGAUCUAGCCAUGGGCAGGUUGAAGGUUGGGUAACACUAACUGGAGGACCGAACCGACUAAUGUUGAAAAAUUAGCGGAUGACCUGUGGCUGGGGGUGAAAGGCCAAUCAAACCGGGAGAUAGCUGGUUCUCCCCGAAAGCUAUUUAGGUAGCGCCUCGUGAAUUCAUCUCCGGGGGUAGAGCACUGUUUCGGCUAGGGGGCCAUCCCGGCUUACCAACCCGAUGCAAACUGCGAAUACCGGAGAAUGUUAUCACGGGAGACACACGGCGGGUGCUAACGUCCGUCGUGAAGAGGGAAACAACCCAGACCGCCAGCUAAGGUCCCAAAGUCAUGGUUAAGUGGGAAACGAUGUGGGAAGGCCCAGACAGCCAGGAUGUUGGCUUAGAAGCAGCCAUCAUUUAAAGAAAGCGUAAUAGCUCACUGGUCGAGUCGGCCUGCGCGGAAGAUGUAACGGGGCUAAACCAUGCACCGAAGCUGCGGCAGCGAACGUAUCACCCAAGACAACUUUACGGAGUUGACGAUUGACGGAGCGAAGCGACGUCAAAGCGUUCAUUAAAGUCGAGUUGGCUUAGGGAUACGUUCGUUGGGUAGGGGAGCGUUCUGUAAGCCUGUGAAGGUGUGUCGUGAGGCAUGCUGGAGGUAUCAGAAGUGCGAAUGCUGACAUAAGUAACGAUAAAGCGGGUGAAAAGCCCGCUCGCCGGAAGACCAAGGGUUCCUGUCCAACGUUAAUCGGGGCAGGGUGAGUCGACCCCUAAGGCGAGGCCGAAAGGCGUAGUCGAUGGGAAACGGGUUAAUAUUCCCGUACUUGGUGUUACUGCGAAGGGGGGACGGAGAAGGCUAUGUUGGCCGGGCGACGGUUGUCCCGGUUUAAGCGUGUAGGUGUGUGUUCCAGGUAAAUCCGGUUCACUUUAACACUGAGGCGUGACGACGAGGCACUACGGUGCUGAAGCAACAAAUGCCCUGCUUCCAGGAAAAGCCUCUAAGCAUCAGGUAACACGAAAUCGUACCCCAAACCGACACAGGUGGUCAGGUAGAGAAUACCAAGGCGCUUGAGAGAACUCGGGUGAAGGAACUAGGCAAAAUGGUGCCGUAACUUCGGGAGAAGGCACGCUGACACGUAGGUGAAGUGAUUUACUCAUGGAGCUGAAGUCAGUCGAAGAUACCAGCUGGCUGCAACUGUUUAUUAAAAACACAGCACUGUGCAAACACGAAAGUGGACGUAUACGGUGUGACGCCUGCCCGGUGCCGGAAGGUUAAUUGAUGGGGUCAGCGUAAGCGAAGCUCCUGAUCGAAGCCCCGGUAAACGGCGGCCGUAACUAUAACGGUCCUAAGGUAGCGAAAUUCCUUGUCGGGUAAGUUCCGACCUGCACGAAUGGCGUAAUGAUGGCCAGGCUGUCUCCACCCGAGACUCAGUGAAAUUGAACUCGCUGUGAAGAUGCAGUGUACCCGCGGCAAGACGGAAAGACCCCGUGAACCUUUACUAUAGCUUGACACUGAACAUUGAGCCUUGAUGUGUAGGAUAGGUGGGAGGCUUUGAAGUGUGGACGCCAGUCUGCAUGGAGCCGACCUUGAAAUACCACCCUUUAAUGUUUGAUGUUCUAACGUGGACCCGUAAUCCGGGUUGCGGACAGUGUCUGGUGGGUAGUUUGACUGGGGCGGUCUCCUCCUAAAGAGUAACGGAGGAGCACGAAGGUUGGCUAAUCCUGGUCGGACAUCAGGAGGUUAGUGCAAUGGCAUAAGCCAGCUUGACUGCGAGCGUGACGGCGCGAGCAGGUGCGAAAGCAGGUCAUAGUGAUCCGGUGGUUCUGAAUGGAAGGGCCAUCGCUCAACGGAUAAAAGGUACUCCGGGGAUAACAGGCUGAUACCGCCCAAGAGUUCAUAUCGACGGCGGUGUUUGGCACCUCGAUGUCGGCUCAUCACAUCCUGGGGCUGAAGUAGGUCCCAAGGGUAUGGCUGUUCGCCAUUUAAAGUGGUACGCGAGCUGGGUUUAGAACGUCGUGAGACAGUUCGGUCCCUAUCUGCCGUGGGCGCUGGAGAACUGAGGGGGGCUGCUCCUAGUACGAGAGGACCGGAGUGGACGCAUCACUGGUGUUCGGGUUGUCAUGCCAAUGGCACUGCCCGGUAGCUAAAUGCGGAAGAGAUAAGUGCUGAAAGCAUCUAAGCACGAAACUUGCCCCGAGAUGAGUUCUCCCUGAGACUUAGAGUCUCCUGAAGGAACGUUGAAGACGACGACGUUGAUAGGCCGGGUGUGUAAGCGCAGCGAUGCGUUGAGCUAACCGGUACUAAUGAACCGUGAGGCUUAACCUU
rnacentral:rRNA from 1 species